UCUCGGUGAUGAUCAAACAACGAUGACGAGUCCGAUAAAUCCAUUCUUACAAUUCUGACGACAAAACGAGGCAUUUGUCUGAGAGGA
rnacentral:snoRNA from 1 species